AGCAAAGGAGGGAAGAGAUGCUGAAGACCAGAGGAGCCUCCGACGCUUUCCUUCCGAUCCCGGGUUCUCCCAGCUCUAGCGAACACGCGACGCCUCUUAUCGUCUCUCCUCUCGUCUUCGUUCUCCCACUCCUCUUUCUGCCGAUUCGGAGCGCAGCGAGGGCUCUGACGCUGGAGGGUCAGAUUGGCGGAUCAGAGGUUGGAGGAAGUCGACGAGCUCAUCGAUUCUGUCGGGACCUUCAUCUUCGCUUCCGAAGUUCGGUCUUCGGUAAUUUUUCGGAAGGGAGAUAAAUUGAUCGAUGGGGUGCCCGAGACUCUUGAUAUGCUAAGAUCUAAGGAGAUGGUUUACCAAAAGAAAGAAGAAGCAACUAGGGGAUAAACCUGUGAGCCAAACCGGCAUUAAGAUCGAGCUUCACAUCCCCUGAAACUGGAUUGUGGGCAGAGCCUAGAUCUACAAGAUGAUACCUGAACUCAAGCAACUGCAUUCUUUGUGAAGAGCACAUGUUGACUGCUUUACUACUGGAAACUGAUUCUGAAACGAGAGCAAGAGAAUUGCACAUGCUUAAGCAAACUAGAAAAGAUAUGAGGUGGAAACCCAUGUUUUUUACUUAAGAGUCUGAUGCUGCUGCAAGCACCUUGGUCUUUGAUUUCUUAGUGCUGGCACGAGCAAGCUCAGAGUUGUCGCACAACCGGCGCUGAAUCAUGUCCAACAAUCUCGUCUGCAAGUGCUUGUUGAUGGUGAUCAUGUGUUUCGUCACGGUGGAAGUCCGCAAGCGGUUCUCCACUGCUGCCACCACCUUCAUCUCUAAGGCUUCUGGGGUUCCCUCCCUCUGCAAGUUCAAGAAAUACAUUUCCCUACCGAGGUAAGAACGUGAGUAAAUAGCAACAGGUACAUGACUUUGAGAGGGUCAACCUCAAGCUCAAGAAUUUGCUUCUUCAUCAGUCGGUAAGUUUGGAAUCCGGGGCUGAUAAAGUGAUCUUCCUGAGGACAGUAAGCUGGUAAAAUGGUCCGUGUUCUCUCUGUUGCAACGUUUGGCUGAGGAGACUUGUCCAGUAAUGAGACAUGAGGGCGAAGCUGGCUUCUCUUGUUCUUCGCCACAGAGAGCAUUGAUUGUGAGAUCACCAGCAAGUUUGUUAUAUAACCUGCUGAGACACGGUGAAAUGCUUCAUCAGAUUCCGCAUCUAAUUCAGAUGAAUUCUGAUCUUGAAGUUAUCAGAAAUGACAAGUAAUUGGACCAAAAAAGCACUCGAGAGUGAAGAUCUUGGCAGUUUCACCAUGCAUGCAUGAGCAGAUAUCAGAUUACCCUUCUUAUAGCUGAAUCUUCGUAAGGGCUGACACAGGUUAGCAUCCCAAAUGCAAGCAGCACCAUCCUUUGAUGCAGAAAUCAACCAUUUACCUCCUGGACUGAAUGAUAAAGUGGUGACACAUUACUUAUGCCCUCCAAGAAAGCCAGAACUGUCCUCUGAAAUUGUUGAGGGCGUUUCUUCCAGUCCAAGAUUAAGUUCACUAACAAGAAUUCGGCCAUCCAUACAUCCGGCAAACAGAAGUUGCUCUUGAGGGUCAGAAGCAAUUGCAGUCACAGGAGCAGAGAACACAUGAGUUUGCACCAGCCUGCCCGAAAUGACGUCCCAUACCUAAAAAUUAUCUCGUGUUGUUAACAAGCAUGCAUCAUCAGAACAUUAAACUUUUAUAUUUGGCAACAAAAUUGUCAAAGCUUGUCAUGUCUCAACCUUGGAAGUGCCAUCAAGGGAGCUUGAUAUCAAUGAUAAGCUACAGCCUCCAGACAUUAGUAGCAGACCAGUUACAGAGGAUUGAUGCUCACACCAUGUGUGUACAGAAGAUAAAGUUCCACAAAUUUGAGGAUCUUCAACAUCCAGUAAGCUUGCAUGGUAAGUAAGCAAAAGCAAUCACUUCUUUUUCCCAAGAGUUUAUCACUCACGGUAGCUGAGGUUUCAGAUGAUUGGUACCUGAUCAUGGACCAUACAUGGAUGACACCAUCCUCAGAAGCAGAAAUAAGCAGAGUGCCAUCGUGAGAAAAGGCUAAACAGCUCAGAGGAUUCUGAUGAGCAGGCCAUAUCUUAAGCAGUUUUCCACUUGUAACCUUCACUCAUGGAAUGAACAAUACUGAGCCAAUGAAGCCCGGAACUACUAACGAAAGAAUUCAGGUUUUUUUUUGAAGGUCGAAGGCACUCAUGGAUUUAAUUGAGCAUUGUGACAUUUUUCUCAUCUGGUUUGAUGGUAUUUAUUAGACACAAAAUAAACAGUUUGGGUCAGUUACUUACCUCCCAUAUAUAUACAUUCCCAGCAGGAGCUCCACCAGCAAGAUAAAUGCCAUCCUUGGAGCUGGAAAUUGGCCCAAUAUUCUCAAGUGGAUAGCUUCUAUGUGGUGACUGGGGCUACAACAAUAGAAAGCAAUUGUCAAUACCAAUUAGUUUCAUUCUGACAAUUAUCAACAAGAACAAUUAUAUCAGAGAAUGUGAUUGCAGAUGUACAAUGUA